CUAAACCCCAGGCUUAACACAUGCAAGUCGAGCGGUAACAGGAGAAGCUUGCUUCUCGCUGACGAGCGGCGGACGGGUGAGUAAUACUUAGGAAUCUACCUAGUAGUGGGGGAUAGCUCGGGGAAACUCGAAUUAAUACCGCAUACGACCUACGGGAGAAAGGGGGCAACUUGUUGCUCUCGCUAUUAGAUGAGCCUAAGUCGGAUUAGCUAGAUGGUGGGGUAAAGGCCUACCAUGGCGACGAUCUGUAGCUGGUCUGAGAGGAUGAUCAGCCACACCGGGACUGAGACACGGCCCGGACUCCUACGGGAGGCAGCAGUGGGGAAUAUUGGACAAUGGGGGCAACCCUGAUCCAGCCAUGCCGCGUGUGUGAAGAAGGCCUUUUGGUUGUAAAGCACUUUAAGCAGUGAAGAAGACUCCAUGGUUAAUACCCAUGGACGAUGACAUUAGCUGCAGAAUAAGCACCGGCUAACUCUGUGCCAGCAGCCGCGGUAAUACAGAGGGUGCAAGCGUUAAUCGGAAUUACUGGGCGUAAAGCGAGCGUAUGUGGCUUGAUAAGUCAGAUGUGAAAGCCCCGGGCUUAACCUGGGAACGGCAUCUGAUACUGUUAGGCUAGAGUAGGUGAGAGGAAGGUAGAAUUCCAGGUGUAGCGGUGAAAUGCGUAGAGAUCUGGAGGAAUACCGAUGGCGAAGGCAGCCUUCUGGCAUCAUACUGACACUGAGGUUCGAAAGCGUGGGUAGCAAACAGGAUUAGAUACCCU
rnacentral:rRNA from 1 species